GGCCCUGUGCGACGGGUGCCUGUGAAUCCCGCCAGGUCCGGAAGGAAGCAACGGUAAGCGGUGUCGCCCGGGUGCCGCA
rnacentral:SRP_RNA from 1 species